CUAUUCGGCUUUGAAGCCGCUCGGGUUCCCAAAAGAACAGUUAGCCAGCAAUUCUCCGGAGAAUCGAGUAGCGAUUCUCCUGGGACACGAACUCGUGCCCGCCCACGUGUCCCACGUAGCAUUCCAGUCCCGUUUUCCACAUUAAAAUAACAUUUUCCACGCUAAUUGUGUGUUUUUUCUGUGUGCCUAGAAAAACAAACGUUCUGAGUUCCACAGCGAAAUUUUGAUUUUUCGCCAGCUUAAAGGCCAACAUUUUCGGGCAGUGUACCUGUGUGCUUGUGCUUGUGCCCUCGAGUGUCCGUGUGAUUGCCAAUGUUUUCUGCGGCCCCUCAGCUUCAAUUUCUUGGGCGAAAUCACAACGACUUCUCGGGCACCCAAAAGGCAGACGGCAGUCGGCAGAGGCGCACCAGUACUCUUUUUUAAGAGCCCCAAACCCCGGAGAACCGAGCCGAAGACCCAAAGAACCGGAGAACCGGCAGAACUCGGUGGAACCACAAAGGCAACAUGUUGCACAUGCACUCGCCAAAAGCAAUUUGCAUACAAAUGUUGCCAACGCACUUCAAAAACUGCACAAUCACAGGGUUUUUUUUUAGGUGGUGCAGCGGAAAAGGGUAAAAGCCGCUUCAUAAUUUGAUAUUAAACAUGCAGGCGUGUCUCCCUCUCGUUUUCUCUCAUGUGUGCAACUUGUAAAUUUGCAAAUUGCUAAAAUGCAUGACAGGAAGGAUAGUGGGGAGACUUUCGGGCAGCUGCGCGAAUUUGCAUUUACAUCAAGGAACCGCAGGACAGUAAAAGGAUCGCAAAAAGUUACCCAAAAAUCGGCCUCCCAGGGAAACUGAAUAAAAAAGCGAAGUCUGCCCAAUCGACUUUCAAUUGCAAAACAAACAUAAUGCACUUGGAGAAAUUGAAGGACCCAAAUGACAAAUCAAUAUAAAUUCACUAGUACUCUUGUUGGUUCUGAAUGUGACAAUUUUUAAUGUUGGUCCUUCGAGCCGCAUUAUUGCAGAAUUUUGGGUAUUAAAUUAGAAAAGGAAGAUAUAUUUUUUGAAUUAAUUUGUAACAAAAAAACAUUUUCAGAUCUAUAUUCUAUAUAUAUUUAAAUAUUUCUCCCAGUGCUCCUUGAAAGACAAAAGGCAAGCCCAAAUGAAUUUCAUUUCAAUUUUAUUUUCAAUCUGCUUUCCGUCCGUCAUAUGAUUGACAUGGUCGAUUGAACAGGCAAACGAGUGGGGGAGUGGAACGAUACACAUAUCGUUUAUUUUUGGCAGCAAGUGUUUGCCUUCGGUUUGCAGUUUUGUUAAUACUGCACUCGAAAAGGCCCGAGACACCUCCUCAGCCAGGCCAAAAUCCGAGGGCUCUUGAAAACGAGAUCUUCGGUUCUUAAUAAGCUGGCGCAACAAAUAAAAAGUACACACUUUUUAUAUCAGAUUAGUACACGGAAUUAUAUGUACUCCUAUUCAGGCUAUAUAUGUGUGGCUAUAUAAAUCAUAUUUAUGGGACAUUUCCCCUGGAGGAAAGCGAAGGAAAAAGGAAAAACAUGUGAAUGUUAAAUGGGCACGCAAUGUGCGAAAGGGAUGGCCUGAACAUGCGUCACUCUCCCCAUUUUCCCCCGGCUUUUCCUUAACGAAGUAAAACAAUAAUCAAUAAGUAAUACCCGGCCAACAACUGUGGGCGAAAGUCACCCCCGAUUUAUCCAUAUUUCCUCCCUCUCACUCAUGUGUGUGUUACAAUUUCUGUUGCCUUUCGCCUGGGUAGUUCAUAACUUUUCCCUCAUGUGUGUCUGUGGUGGUUUUCUUGGUUCUUGGCCAGGACUCCGGGCGUUUGACAGCCAUGUUUGUCCUUCGCACAUACACACACUCACACACGAUUGUAGGCGUCGCCUUGUGGCACCCCCAAAAAAUACGAAAAAAAUUAAGAAAAACGAAAAGUGUUGCGGAAAAGUGUGCCACAAACUUUUUGCCCGAAAAAACUUUGUCUGCUGACACAGAUCUGUGUGUAAAUGAGCGAGAUAAGAAGCAUUGGCAAAUUUUCCAGACUCAAACCCUCUCUUACACUCUAAUCAUACACCUGAAAAACAUUUUAAAGAAUUUUUUAAAUUCCAUAUGCUUCCAAAAAAAUAAAAAUAAAAAAGCUUGGUAAUGAAUGCCAGUUUUUUGAGUACAAUAUUAGAUUAUUUUUUAUUAUAUUAUUAUAUCAUUAUAAUAAUAUAAAACUCAUGUUUAAAAAGGUAUUUACAAUUUUAUAUUUAAAUUGGUUUUUUUAUUUGGAUCGUUGUUAACAAAUUUUCUGAUCAUUUGUUUGCUGAUAGAUAGAUAGAAUGCUGAUAGAAAUUUUUCGUUAAGUGUAACAAACCUUUUUCGGAUUGCCAAAGACUCGCCGAUAAACAAAUUUGAAAAAUUUGGUUAUACUUUGGGUUCGUUUUUAGUUUAGGCCCAGCUGAUUUAUUGUCAUAAAUUUCAUUGAAAUUCAUGAGGCUCUUGGAUGAACCUCAAAAAUGUAUAAAAAAAGCAGGGCGUGGCCUAAAUGAUGUGUGUGUGUGGCUGCGCCUACGCAAUGCCCCAACAGAUUUAUUUCAAUGGAACGAAGGGAAAUUAUAAUAUUUUCCAACUUCUAUUAUCGAAAGAGAAAUAUAAAAGAAAUAAAAAGAAAUACAAUUCUGUGGGGAGAUUAUGAAAAGAGCUGUUGAUGUAUGAAUUGUAUGGGCCUCUCAUAAAUCUUGGGGCCCUGUCAAGGUGUCCAAUACGUUUUUCUUGGGCCUCUGUGUGCUUGUGCUCAAGUGGCAGUCAUAAAUUUGAAAUUUAUGUUCAUCUCUCGUUUGGAUUUCGUAGUUUUGUUCUCCUCCCAUUUACCAAUUUUCGGUUUUGGUCAAGAGAACCUGCCACAAAGCAAAGUUCUUUCUUCGCUUGUUAAUUAAAUGCGAUUGCAUCAUCGCAUCUUUCAGCUGUCCAUCGCUAUGGUCACAAUUGAGGUUGAAAUAAUAGUAGUUCUCGAAGAGGGUUUCAAAAAAACUAAUAAAAAAAAGUUUGGUAUAGGAAGUACAUUUUUACGAUACAUAAUUUAAAAUAUGUAAAGAGCCCAUUAGAGAUAAUGAAAUAUGGAUUGUACGGAACUGUUUUUAAAAAACACCCCUAGGUUUUCAACCCCAGCUGUCCGUAUCUCUAUCCCAUUUUAUCAAGCUAUGACUGGACAGAAAUUGUCGCUAAUCGCUGCUCAUGUACCUCAAGACAUGCCGCAUUUGUCUUUGUCUCUAUUUUUUCGGCUUUGACACAUUUUUCUUAUGAAUUUUCUGUAUUUUUCCCCACUCACUAAUUUUUCGUGGCGUGUUUGUUCUGACCGCCAAAAUUGCUUGUCCAACAUUUGUUGGACAUGUUUUUUUACUUUGGCUCGGUUUUUUGGGAACACACGAACUACACGCAAGUGCGGAAGAUUUUUAGCCAGAUCCGUUAAGCAUCAAAAUCAACUCUUUCGAGCUCAUUAAACGGCCAGGGAAAAAAGUGGAAUAAAGCCAAAAGUUGACCUUCAAAAACGCAACGCAACCAAGCGAAAAUGGCAAAAAAUAAAAAAAGACAAAAUAAAAAUACAUAAUACGAGAAAUAACAAAAGUCAGAGCUGCUUGGAAACAGGUUGUUGUUUCGCUCUCUCUAUUGUUAACAUUUUAUUACGCUUUUUUCAAGCGGAAAGCAACAAAAGCCCCCGAAACUCUUGCAUUUUUACGAUUAUUUACGAUCGAAAUUCAUUUCCCUGGCGAUUUUUGACCUUGCAGUUGUUGCACUUAACACGUGCCAGAAAUUGAUAAUGCAAAAGCGCGUUUAAGGUGUUAAUCACGCUGCCGAGCUAUAAAAAACAUGUGAAAAGGCAGAUGUAGCCAGCUAAAAAAAUCAGCCCAAAAAGGCGCCAAAAAUAUUUCAACGACGAAGAAAAAAAAAAACGAACUAAAAACAUUUUUUAUUAAAAAAAAUCGAAUUGUAUACACCCUUACUAUCUUAACCAAAAAAUUUAACUAAUAUAUAACUAAAUAUAUCGCUUUUCAAAAAGAUUAAAAAAUUAAAAAAGAUUAAAAAAGAUAUAGUCAUCUGAAGAAUAGGUAUUUGUCAAAUAAAUUUAACAUUUUAUUUAAACUUCAUAUACUUUAAAUUCAAUCUUCAAAAACAACCUUUUUUGAGCCACUUAUUGGGCCUAAAACGUAAGCUAGAAAAUGUAUCUUACAGAUCGUUGUGCUCUUCUGUUGAUAUAAAGAUACAUUACCCCGUAUACCCCAUAUAGGAAGUAUGUAUUCUAAUCAUAAAUGGACGUUUGCCGCGAUGACGAAGAGUUUGCCUAUUGUAGAUCUUUAUUUGCCAUGGCUUUUGUUGCUUUUGUUGUGGGCACUUCAAAGUCGUGUGCGAGUUGUUCAUGUUGUUGUUGUUGGAUAUAGCUUGUUUACUUUUACGGUAAAUAAGAAAAACAACAAAAACGACAACGAGGACUACAAAAAAAGCGCGAGCCCGUCGCGCGUAUCUAGAUAAAUAUCUGUGAAAAUACACUUGAGGCCAAGCUACUGUACAUACGCACGGCGACUGCGACGCCGGCAGCGACGCCUACUGCGAAAGGCAUAGGGACAGUGGGUGGCAAAAAAAUAGUGAGCAAUUUAGAAAUUUAUAAAAAAGUUAUUUUUUUAAUUUUAUAAAAGUUGUUAUUGCUGAUUUGUCUAAUUGGCUCAAUAAUAGUGUUAUUGGCAAUGGUAUAGAACCUAAACUCACAUUUAUAAAUAAAAAAAGUUUAAUCAUUUCACUUGAAGUCUUAAACGAAUUUAUUUUUUGGUCAGAGGAAAAACAGAUUUCUUAUAAAAGAACUCAAUUUAUAUAAAAACGGUGCUACUAUUUAAAACACUGCAGAAAAAAUUACCCGGUACAAAAACAUGCUUUUCUAAUUUUUCAAUAAAAAAAAUGCAUUAAAAUUAUUAAAUUAUUUUUGAAUACCACAUUUUUUUAAUGCAUUUUUUUUAUUGAAAAAUUAGAAAAGCAUUUUUGCAAAGCAAUAAAAUACUACUAUCAAUUUUAAAAUAGUCUGCCAUUUAGUCUCAAAAACCUCGUGGAAGCUCUCAGUAAUUUGCCCUCUGCUGUUAUUUUUGUUGCUGGUUCUCCAGCGAAGGCAACGACCAACAACAACAACAAAGAGGCAGCAACAACAAGCGAUGACGACGCCAAGCAAAAACAAUCGUAACAGAUCAUCGAACUCCGCGGCUUUGUUGUUGUUGGCUGCUGGCUGCCGCUGGCCUUGACUUGCCCCUUAAAACACACAUUUUUCUCCGGUGUAUGCCUUUUCUGGCCCAAAACUUUUUAAUUGUUUCAUUAAUUAAAAGACGCUUUUUUUCCUAUUAACUUUUUUGUUAUUUUAUUCCUGCCUUUUUGGUGAUAUUAAUUGAGUUGAAAACGCGUGCGGCGCCCACGCAGCAGGCAGCGACGCCGGCGUCGGCAGAGCGGCUUUCACCGCUGCUUGCGUCAUGUUGGGCUACAAAGCGGCACGGCUACAAGGCGGCAGAAAUAUGCAUUGCUGCCGCGGUGUGUGUGCGAUGCAGCCGCCACAAGUGGCAAUCCACCACGGCGGAAAACCACCACCCACCAAAGAAACCCACCACGGCAGCGACGUCGACAGCGACCAACCACGAAACCGCGUGCUUUUCUGUUUUCAGCUUGCUGUUUUAGUCGCCCAACGAUUUUCAAAUACGAAGGUUGGAAAACGCGGACGAGUCGCAAUCGAUUUUCUCUCCCUAGUAAAAAUAACGGCUACGAAAAUACGAAAUUUAUCAGAACAACUUCUUCCUAAAUUAUUAAAAACCUCUAGUUAUUUGUUAAAAUCCACGAUAAACCGCGUUUUUUGUGGCGUUUCUAACAGAAAAAAACAAUCUUAUAAAUACGAAAAAAAAACUGGAAUUACUUGAUCGGUCAGAUACACUCGUUUGUGUGUGUGUGUGCUGCACUUUUAGCGCUGCUUACGUGCACAAGUGAACGUCGACGCGUUUUCUAAUCUGGCGAUUAUCGAUUGAUAGCGAUAAGCCGCAGUCGGCGUCGACGCAGGCAGCGGCUGCAACACUCACACCGAGGCAAAAAAUACAAGUACACUUGAAAAAAACACGUAGACCUAGAAAGCACUCCAUAGCUGCGCGCGACUUUAACCGAAGUUUCUGCGCGCGUUUAAAGUCGCGCGAUCAAAACCCUCCGCUCGGCUGCAGUCGACGUCGCUGCCGGCCAUCUCUGCCGCGGCCGCAGCCGCUGCCUCUGCCUGCGUCGGCGUCGAACAUCGUCGCAUUUCGAGUUAUUUUCUGCGCGACUUCGCUGCGUUUUUUUCAGUUGGGUUUCGGAGCUCCAAAGUCGCGCAUCAAACGCUCGCAAACCGCUUCGUGUUUUCGCAUUCGCGUGACUUGUCAAAAAAUUCGUAAAAUAAAAAGCAUAUUAAGUGUUGAAGAAGAAAAAAUAAAUCAAUGGAAAUACCUAACGGAUAAAUACAGCUUAAAUGGCAUUUAAAAACAAAAAUAAAACAGAAAACCCAACGAAUGUUUCUAAUCAUGAAGUUGGAACGGGGAAAAAAAAUAAUCAAGAUUAAGCGGAAAGUAAAACCAAAAUAAAAAUGUCUUCAAAAAAUAUAAAAAAUAUUUUCAAUCAAAUAAAUUAAGGGGUUAAACAUAAAAAAUGUAGAAAUUUCUGUCUUUAAAAUGCGGACAAAGCUUAAUAAUCUCACUUUUUAAACUUGCAUAGAAAUUGAAAAGAAGUCAAGAUAAAAUACUUACGGAAGUUUCUAAUGAAAUUAAUAGAAAAUAAACUUCCUUCUUAAAAAAUAUCUAUAAACAAAAGCCGCUGUUUUGUUUUAAGAAAAAGUCUUCAAAGUUAAUUGGCAUCCUGCUCAGCAAGAAAACAAACCAUAUUUCCUCUCAUAAAAAUUUUAGAAAUAAACAAAUUACUUAACUUAUCUAAAAGAAAACUUUGAGCGGAAGAGCUGUUCAUCCUGUACAAGUUCCCUAUUAAAAGCCGAAGAAAUCCCAAAACUUUCCACUAAAUUCAUAUUUUGCAUAAAGAAGCUAUUACAUUUCUAACUAAUAAUAAAACCCCCACACACACAAUUCCAUAUUAUUAAUAAUGAUCUGAAAAUUAUUUAAAUUCAAUCAAACAAAAAGUUGAUCCAGCAAAAAACACCGAACCCUCGAUAAAAACAACACUGAAAAAGCUGCCAAGCGAGAAACGACGGAGGACCACACCAUAUAUAACCAUAUAUAACCGUCGUAGUCGUCAUCAUCAUCAAGCUAGAAAUUCCCCCAGCACAAAUCCCAUGAAGAGAAUCCCAUCAGCAGAAUAACAACAACUGAAAUACUACAGAAAAAAGAGUUGGAAUUUUUGUAAGCUGGUAUGUGAGUUGCUGUUCGCCUCUUUACGGUUCGAGUUUUGUGAAAAAGAAAAAGGGAAACGCUGCCGAGAUAUUUUUUACCUGGUUUUUGCCAUCAGCGAGGUAUAGAGUUCCUACGUUCAUUAUAAACUCGUAGGAACUUCAUACCGUGCUCUUGGAAGACCAAAAAACAACAAAGUAAAUGCAAAAAUCCCAAAAAGUAAGGCGAAAACAAACAAAAAGUGCGUUUUAAAACGAUGAGAAAACGCUGGCGAAACGAAAAGGAAGUUGCAAACGAUGGGAAAGUAAGAGUUACUAACUUUGAUCAUGAUUAUGUUGCUCGAAAUGCAGUAGUGAGUCAAGCCAAAUGUAUUAUAAUAAUUAAAUGAAGGAGCCAAAUCAAAAGUUUCCCAUCAGAAUGCUACUUUUCACUGUAGAGAGAGUGCACUUUUGUUUGGUUGGUAAGAAAUAAUUAUUGUAUAACAAUGUUUUUGAACAUCCCAAUGAACAUCAGGUUAUUGGGAGAUUAAAUGUUUCAGGGUAUUUUAAUAUAACAAUAAUAAUAAAUUCACUGAAAGGUUUUUAAGCCAAAUAAGUUUUCCUCUCCUGAGGAACGCGGCUAAAACCGCUUGUAAAACGCGCGCGAGUCGCUAGCGACUUCUGAUCCAAUUGGAAAGGUUUUCUGAAAAAAGAACCUUAUAAAUCUACGAAAUUUGUUAACUCACUUUAAAAUAAAAUCUAAAAAUGGCAAAAGCAACAGAAGCUGUUUAGGGUUUGGAAACACCGCACUCGAUAAGAUAUGGAAAAGCGAUCCCGAAUGACUAAUGCCAAGUAAAGGGCGAUUGAGGUGCGGCUGAGCCGAGGCACUUGAAAGUACUUGUCAUAAAUUAACAAGCAUUAUUUCUAAUUUCAAUUAAUUUCCAAGUACAGAUAACGCUGUCCCGCUCCACAUAUGAGUAGACCCCUCUCUUUCACCGGCUAAAUGGUUUCCACUUUGGAUUCGCUAAUUGCUAAAGUCGUCUCCCGGCUAAUGGAAAUUGUUUGUUGUUGAUUGGCUAAGACGGGGAGAAUUGCUUGAUUGUACUUUGAGAGGUGAAUGAAGGAGAAGAUUGCAGCUGCAUUUGGAGGGGUUACAUAGGGUUGCGAAAAAUCAUUAAAAACGCAAGUUAAUUUAAUUUCAGCUCAUAAAUCAAAACUGUGCCGCGCAAAAUGUUUGCUUUUGACGCGCCGUUUUUGUCGCCAGACUGCCGACAUCGCUGGACACCGGUCAGUGGACAGUGGACACUGGCCAUUGGACAACUGGAACGGACAUGCAGGACAGGGCAGCAGCUGGAGAAACAGGAGGACCAGGAGGCCGAGGAGCUGGAGUCGGCCAAGUCCACUUCAAAGCCGCAAUUGCCAGGGGAAUAAUAAUGGGACAAUUUUCAAGCUCGCUAAGGAAAAGUUUGGAAAAUAUUAUCUUUUUUAAUUAACAAAUAUAUCUAAAAGGUUAACUACUAACUAGCUUUACUUUGGAUAUUGAAAGCAUAAAGUCUAUUUUUUUAAUUAAUGUUUUUUUGGUUAGGAUUAC